rnacentral:rRNA from 1 species
CUUGACUGCGAGCGUGACGGCGCGAGCAGGUGCGAAAGCAGGUCAUAGUGAUCCGGUGGUUCUGAAUGGAAGGGCCAUCGCUCAACGGAUAAAAGGUACUCCGGGGAUAACAGGCUGAUACCGCCCAAGAGUUCAUAUCGACGGCGGUGUUUGGCACCUCGAUGUCGGCUCAUCACAUCCUGGGGCUGAAGUAGGUCCCAAGGGUAUGGCUGUUCGCCAUUUAAAGUGGUACGCGAGCUGGGUUUAGAACGUCGUGAGACAGUUCGGUCCCUAUCUGCCGUGGGCGCUGGAGAACUGAGGGGGGCUGCUCCUAGUACGAGAGGACCGGAGUGGACGCAUCACUGGUGUUCGGGUUGUCAUGCCAAUGGCACUGCCCGGUAGCUAAAUGCGGAAGAGAUAAGUGCUGAAAGCAUCUAAGCACGAAACUUGCCCCGAGAUGAGUUCUCCCUGAGACUUAAAGUCUCCUGAAGGAACGUUGAAGACGACGACGUUGAUAGGCCGGGUGUGUAAGCGCAGCGAUGCGUUGAGCUAACCGGUACUAAUGAACCGUGAGGCUUAACCUUACAACGCCGAAGAUGUUUUG